CGCCAUGUCCACCUCCGCGCGCAUGCGCCUCAAGGGCGCUGAAUGGCGGACGUGUGAGGAGGG
ensembl:miRNA gga-mir-7446 gga-mir-7446